AAAAAGUCAAUACAAGAGAGCAGAAGCCACCUGCAGAACCCAGCUUCAAACACCUGUUAAGCUUAUUCGGCCAUCUUUGAUUGUGUUAAUAAAGGAAGGAGGCAAUGGGAUCAAUGUUCAGUUCACCUCAGUUUAGCAAAGAACAAAUGGAGGCCGCUCUUACCAAAGCCAAGCAGAUCGUUUCCUCUAAUCCUGUUGUCGUAUUCAGUAAAACAUACUGCGGAUAUUGCACAAGGGUGAAGAAACUUCUUUCCCAGCUUGGUGCUACUUUUAAAGUUAUUGAACUUGACCGGGAAAGUGAUGGAGAUGAGGUUCAAGCAGCAUUACUAGAAUGGACUAAGCAGAGGACUGUGCCUAACGUGUUUAUUGGGGGAGAACAUGUUGGUGGCUGCGACAGCGUAUUAGAGAAGCAUCAACAGGGAAAGCUACUUCCCAUGCUGAAGGACGCCGCUGCUAUUCCCAACAAUCCUGCCAAAGUCUAGAACUCAUCUAUGCACUCUAGUAGUCAAAUGAAGUUGAGAGUUCUGUAACUUAACUGCCUCCUCUCCUCUAGUUGGGGUUGUUUAAUAAGACGCUGGAUUUCAAGUUCCUUUUUCUGAACAUUUUCUUUUAGUACUAUUUUCUAUUUUUUACUUGCCAUCUGUUCCUUUGGGAAGUAUAUAUUGUAGAUUCGCGUU
rnacentral:misc_RNA from 1 species